rnacentral:rRNA from 1 species
GAUGAACGCUGGCGGCGUGCUUAACACAUGCAAGUCGAACGAAGCACUUUUGCCAGAUCCCUUCGGGGUGAAGGCGCUAGUGACUGAGUGGCGGACGGGUGAGUAACGCGUGGAUAACCUGCCUUACACAGGGGGAUAACAGUUAGAAAUGACUGCUAAUACCGCAUAAGCGCACAGCAUCGCAUGAUGCCGUGUGAAAAACUCCGGUGGUGUAAGAUGGAUCCGCGUCUGAUUAGCUAGUUGGUGGGGUAACGGCCCACCAAGGCGACGAUCAGUAGCCGGCCUGAGAGGGUGGAUGGCCACAUUGGGACUGAGACACGGCCCAGACUCCUACGGGAGGCAGCAGUGGGGAAUGUUGGGCAAUGGGCGAAAGCCUGACCCAGCGACGCCGCGUGGAGGAAGAAGGUUUUCGGAUUGUAAACUCCUGUCUUCGGGGAAGAUAAUGACGGUACCCGAGGAGGAAGCCACGGCUAACUACGUGCCAGCAGCCGCAGUAAAAC